rnacentral:rRNA from 1 species
UACGUAGGGUGCGAGCGUUGUCCGGAAUUAUUGGGCGUAAAGAGCUCGUAGGCGGUGUGUCACGUCGGCCGUGAAAACCUGGGGCUUAACUCUGGGCGUGCGGUCGAUACGGGCAUCACUAGAGUUCGGCAGGGGAGACUGGAAUUCCUGGUGUAGCGGUGAAAUGCGCAGAUAUCAGGAGGAACACCGAUGGCGAAGGCAGGUCUCUGGGCCAUUACUGACACUGAGAAGCGAAAGCAUGGGGAGCGAGCAGG